CGAGAAAGAACCAACAGGGAUGCCCCAGUAACGGCGAGUGAAGCGGCAACAGCUCAAAUUUGAAAUCUGGUCCCCAGGGCCCGAGUUGUAAUUUGCAGAGGAUGCUUUUGGUGAGGUGCCUUCCGAGUUCCCUGGAACGGGACGCCAUAGAGGGUGAGAGCCCCGUCUGGUUGGAUACCGAGCCUCUGUAAAGCUCCUUCGACGAGUCGAGUAGUUUGGGAAUGCUGCUCUAAAUGGGAGGUAUAUGUCUUCUAAAGCUAAAUAUUGGCCAGAGACCGAUAGCGCACAAGUAGAGUGAUCGAAAGAUGAAAAGCACUUUGAAAAGAGGGUUAAAUAGUACGUGAAAUUGUUGAAAGGGAAGCACUUAUGACCAGACUUGGCCCCGGUGAAUCAUCCAGCGGUUCCCGUUGGUGCACUUUGCCGGGGUUCAGGCCAGCAUCAGUUCGCUCCGGGGGAUAAAGGCUUUGGGAAUGUGGCUCCCUCGGGAGUGUUAUAGCCCAUUGCGCAAUACCCUGUGGCGGGCUGAGGUUCGCGCUUUAUGCAAGGAUGCUGGCAUAAUGGUCAUCAGUGACCCGUCUUGAAACACGGACCAAGGAGUCGUCUUCGUAUGCGAGUGUUCGGGUGUUAAACCCCUACGCGUAAUGAAAGUGAACGCAGGUGAGAGCCCUCCAGGGCGCAUCAUCGACCGAUCCUGAUGUUCUCGGAUGGAUUUGAGUAAGAGCAUACGGGGCCGGACCCGAAAGAAGGUGAACUAUGCCUGUAUAGGGUGAAGCCAGAGGAAACUCUGGUGGAGGCUCGCAGCGGUUCUGACGUGCAAAUCGAUCGUCAAUAUGGGCAUGGGGGCGAAAGACUAAUCGACC
rnacentral:rRNA from 1 species